rnacentral:rRNA from 1 species
UACGUAGGGCGCAAGCGUUAUCCGGAAUUACUGGGCGUAAAGCGCGUGUAGGCGGCUAUGUAAGUCGGGCGUGAAAUCCCACGGCUCAACCGUGGAAGUGCACUCGAAACUGCGUAGCUAGAGUCCCGGAGAGGAAGGUGGAAUACUUGGUGUAGAGGUGAAAUUCGUAGAUAUCAAGUGGAACACCGGUGGCGAAGGCGGCCUUCUGGACGGUGACUGACGCUGAGACGCGAAAGCGUGGGGAGCAAACGGG